rnacentral:rRNA from 1 species
GACGAACGCUGGCGGCGUGCUUAACACAUGCAAGUCGAACGAUGAAGCUAGAGCUUGCUCUGGUGAAUUAGUGGCGAACGGGUGAGUAACACGUGAGUAACCUGCCCCGAACUCUGGGAUAACUGCUGGAAACGGUAGCUAAUACUGGAUACGACCUACGAAGGCAUCUUCUGUAGGUGGAAAGAAUUUCGGUUCGGGAUGGACUCGCGGCCUAUCAGCUUGUUGGUGAGGUAAUGGCUAACCAAGGCGACGACGGGUAGCCGGCCUGCGAGGGUGACCGGCCACACGGGGACUGAGACACGGCCCAGACUCCUACGGGAGGCAGCAGUGGGGAAUAUUGCACAAUGGGCGCAAGCCUGAUGCAGCAACGCCGCGUGAGGGAUGACGGCCUUCGGGUUGUAAACCUCUUUUAGUAGGGAAGAAGCGAAAGUGACGGUACCUGCAGAAAAAGCACCGGCUAACUACGUGCCAGCCGCCGCCGUAA